UUAAUUAUUUCUCGGUCAUGAAUCAAAAAAUUUAUAGAUUACAAUUUGUUCAUCAAGCACAAAUCACAAAUUUCAUAAGUCACAAUUCAUAUUUUUAAGUCAUAUAUUAUUUAUUGGUCAUAAUUUAUCGAUGACAUUAUUUAUUGGUCACAAAAUGUCCAAAUCCAAAAUUACCAGUCACCGUCUCAACCACCACCUCACCACACACAAAACUUCAACUAAGCAAGUCAGAGGAAAAAAGCCAACCGAAAACCAUCGCCGCUGCAUACUACCUCCACCCACCGCACCACCACCACUGGCAUCAUCAUCGCACACACCACCGCACUACCACAAAUUUUCACUCUUUUGUGUCAAACAAAGAUGUGCAACCGCCAUGAAGACGUGGCGAGUAACAGAUUCGUCGUCACCGUCUUCUUAACAGCUAUGCAGUGGUGAUGUCUGCUUCGAAGUGACAAUGCUGCAGACGUUGGUUGCUUCAAAGCGAUGCCAUUGUGGUGGUGACGUUUUUGAGCAUCGCGCCGUGGCAUCUCCAAUGGUAAGGAGAGAAAAGAUAAUGGAGGGAUAUAGAGAGACGAAGGAAAUGAUAGAUAGAGAAAAGAUAGAAGAAAAUGCGUGGUAAUUAGGUUGGAAGGUUAGACAUGUG
rnacentral:lncRNA from 1 species